rnacentral:lncRNA from 1 species
AUUUUAUUUAUAAAUAUAUAUUCAUUUAUUUAUUAUAUAUAGUUUUUUAUUUAUAAAUUUAUAAUUAUUUAUUAAUAUUUCUAAAUACAUAAUUCUUAUAUAUUAUUAAUAUAUAUUUAUUUAUUAUAAUUUUGAAUAUAUUUAAUUUAUAUAAAAAAGCAUAAAAAUAAUAUAUAUAGUAUAUUAAUUAUUAUAUAUUUAUUAUAUAGCCGAAUUUUUUUAUUCCGAAUUUUUAAUUGGUAAACGUAUAAUAUCCGUAUAAAUUACAUAUCCGAAUAAUUACCACAUCCGUUUUUUAGCCGUAUUUUUCAAAGAAUUUAAAAGUUAAAAAACGAAUUUUAUCCGAAUUAUACCCGUACCGAAUUUUUGCCGAAUCCGAAUUAACUAAUUAUGGUUGAGUGAGUGGUUGGUUGAAUAGUAUAAUCUAACGGGUAAAAAUAAUCAAAAGGUUAAAUCUAACAGUGGAAAACUCGAUAGCACCAAAUCCUUGGUGCUAUCGAUAGUGUCCCAGCCGGACUAUAUAUAGAACUAGACUACACACACACACACACACACACACAUAUAUAUAGUAGGUCUUGUGUGCUAUUAGGAGCACGGAGGCCUCCGUGCUCCUAAGCCGUUUUCGAUGAUGGAGCUUUUGAAUCGACGAUCGGCUCUAUUAGAUUUGAUUUAGCGUAUUUGAACUAUUUAGAAAAUAAUUUUUGUGAUUUUUUGGUAUCAUUUUCCUACCGAUCGAAAGGGUUCAAAAUCAACAAUUUUUAAUGGUUGAUGUAUACCGUUUGCAAGUUUAACGGUGUAGAAGUAUUCAAAUCAGGUGNAAAGGGUUCAAAAUCAACAAUUUUUAAUGGUUGAUGUAUACCGUUUGCAAGUUUAACGGUGUAGAAGUAUUCAAAUCAGGUGAAAUUUUGAUAGAGAAUUCUUUAUACUAUUUACAACAAGAUCAAUAUGUUUGUUCAAAAAUUUUAAUGCUAUAUCACCAAUUUUUGU